CAAAAAAGAAUACAAAAGCCAGUAAAUAAAUAAAUAAUAAAGGAAGCAGGCAUCAAGUAUUGCCAAGAAUUUCUGAAUUAAUUUCUUCUUUAACUCAAAGGAGGAGCCUGGGAAACUGACAAAUAUAAAGAGUGUUUGUGUAAGACUGAAGAACACGAACGAUUUAAAGAGAAAAUACUAGCAAAUCUCUUCAGUGAUCUACUGAAAAAAGAUUGAGAAGAUGGCAAUGAAGGUGUUUGCUGUGGCUCUGCUCUCUGUUUUAAUGGGGUUUAUGGUGUCCAUUUCUGAUGGAUUCCAACCAGUCGACUGUUCUGAACUUUAUAAAUCAGGAGAAACAGUGAGUGGGAUCUACUCCAUCUAUCCAGCAGGUGACAUUCCUGUC